CCACAGAAUUCCAACUUUGCUAUUGCUUUAGAGUUUUUCAAUUUGGAGAUUUUAAAGGUAACAUUGUAGAGAACUAUUUUAUUUUUAGCUUACUGUUCUUUCUUUUUCUUUUUUCUUUUUUUUUUUUUUUAACUUACUGUUCUAAACAUCUGAGUAUCAUCUCUUGGAAGUACCUUUGAAACUACAGGAAAAAUACUAACUUCAUGACCUAUUCCACCUGGACGAAAAGAAACCAGUUUUGGAAGCAGGGUGAUACACCGUUUGCUAAACACCACCACUUCUCUCAUCUCAUCUUUCAAAAGACCUCAAUUAAGGUAGGUUUUCUGGGGGAAGCCUUCCAUAAAUGAUCCAUUUGGCUGUGGCAUCUACCUUUCAUGCUCUCAAAGCAUCAUACUACCAUCAUCCUAUCCCUCAUCACAGUAUUAUCACUUCAUAUUUCAUAUUUGGAUGAAAUAUGGACUAGAUACCACGAAGCCAAAGAACCCUGUAGCCUGAGGAUCUUGCAUGGUAUCUGAUACAGUGAUGUCUGUGAAUAUUUUGUUGAAUUAAUUUGACUGUUUGAAAGGGCAGGCUAUUUUCACUCAUUCUCUCUCUUUCCUAGCAAUGAAAAGUCUGUAUUGAAAUUUUUGAAAAAUAUAUUGAAGAAAGGACCAAGGAAUAACACCUCCAGGACAGUAAACUGAUUUAAAAGAAAAUGGUCUUUCAUAUGAUUUAUAAAUAUCCAUGAGACUAAGGCCAAAUAAAGAAAGC
rnacentral:lncRNA from 12 species